AUCCAGGUGACGAGUCCAAAACAGGACGAAACGCGCGUCCUGGAU
rnacentral:hammerhead_ribozyme from 1 species